rnacentral:rRNA from 1 species
AUUGAACGCUGGCGGCAUGCCUUACACAUGCAAGUCGAACGAUAACAGGUCUUCGGAUGCUGACGAGUGGCGAACGGGUGAGUAAUACAUCGGAACGUGCCUAGUAGUGGGGGAUAGCUACUCGAAAGAGUGGCUAAUACCGCAUGAGAUCUACGGAUGAAAGCAGGGGAUCGCAAGACCUUGUGCUACUAGAGCGGCCGAUGGCAGAUUAGGUAGUUGGUGGGAUAAAAGCUUACCAAGCCGACGAUCUGUAGCUGGUCUGAGAGGACGAUCAGCCACACUGGGACUGAGACACGGCCCAGACUCCUACGGGAGGCAGCAGUGGGGAAUUUUGGACAAUGGGCGCAAGCCUGAUCCAGCAAUGCCGCGUGCAGGAUGAAGGCCUUCGGGUUGUAAACUGCUUUUGUACGGAACGAAAAGCCCUGGGUUAAUACCCUGGGGUCAUGACGGUACCGUAAGAAUAAGCACCGGCUAACUACGUGCCAGCCGCCGCCGUAA